CCUACGGGUGGCAGCAGUGGGGAAUAUUGCACAAUGGGGGAAACCCUGAUGCAGCGACGCCGCGUGAGUGAAGAAGUAUUUCGGUAUGUAAAGCUCUAUCAGCAGGGAAGAAAAUGACGGUACCUGAUUAAGAAGCACCGGCUCACUACGUGCCAGCAGCCGCGGUAAUACGUAGGGGGCCAGCGUUAUCCGGAUUGACUGGGUGUAAAGGGAGCGUAGGCGGGAGCGCAAGUCUGAAGGGAAAUGCCGGGGCUGAACCCCGGAACUGCUGUGGAAACUGUGCAGCUAGAGUGCAGGAGAGGUAAGUGGAAUUCCGAGUGUAGCGGUGAAAUGCGUAGAUAUUAGGAGGAACACCAGUGGCGAAGGCGGCUUACUGGACUGUAACUGACGUUGAGGCUCGAAAGCGUGGGGAGCAAACAGGAUUAGAUACCCCUGUAGUC
rnacentral:rRNA from 1 species